rnacentral:rRNA from 1 species
GACGAACGCUGGCGGCGUGCUUAACACAUGCAAGUCGAACGGAAAGGCCCUGCUUUUGUGGGUUGCUCGAGUGGCGAACGGGUGAGUAACACGUGAGUAACCUGCCCUUGACUUUGGGAUAACUUCAGGAAACUGGGGCUAAUACCGGAUAGGAGCUCCUGCUGCAUGGGGGGGGUGGGAAAGUUUCGGCGGUUGGGGAUGGACUCGCGGCUUAUCAGCUUGUUGGUGGGGUAGUGGCUUACCAAGGCUUUGACGGGUAGCCGGCCUGGGAGGGUGACCGGCCACAUUGGGACGGAGAUGCGGCCCAGACUCCUACGGGAGGCAGGAGUGGGGAAGAGUGCACAAUGGGCGGAAGCCUGAUGCAGCAACGCCGCGUGCGGGAUGACGGCCUUCGGGUUGUAAACCGCUUUCGCCUGGGACGAAGCGUGAGUGACGGUAAUGGGUAAAGAAGCACCGGCUAACUACGUG